CAUGGCUCAGGACGAACGCUGGCGGCGUGCCUAAUACAUGCAAGUCGAACGAACCGCGACUAAGUGCUUGCACUAAGUCAAGGUGAGUGGCGAACGGGUGAGUAACACGUGGGUAACCUACCUCAUAGUGGGGGAUAACAGUCGGAAACGACUGCUAAUACCGCAUAGGACAUGGAAUCACAUGAUUCCGUGAGGAAAGGUGGCGCAAGCUAUCGCUAAGAGAUGGACCCGCGGUGCAUUAGCUAGUUGGUAGGGUAAAGGCCUACCAAGGCGAUGAUGCAUAGCCGACCGGAGAUGGUGCUCGGCCACAUUGGGACUGAGACCCGGCCCAACCUCCUACGG
rnacentral:rRNA from 1 species